rnacentral:rRNA from 1 species
AUGCAAGUCGAACGAAGAACCCACUAUGGGUAACCACUGUGGGAUUCUUAGUGGCGAACGGGUGAGUAACACGUGAGAAACCUGCCCCGGAGAUCGGGAUAGCCCAGGGAAACCUGGAUUAAUACCGGAUACCCUCUUACGACCGCAUGGUCGAUCGAGGAAAUGGUCCGCUGCUCCGGGAUGGUCCCGCGUCCUAUCAGCUAGUUGGUGAGGUAACGGCUCACCAAGGCUAUGACGGGUAGCUGGUCUGAGAGGACGAUCAGCCACACUGGGACUGAGACACGGCCCAGACUCCUACGGGAGGCAGCAGCAGGGAAUUUUGCACAAUGGGCGAAAGCCUGAUGCAGCGACGCCGCGUGGGGGAUGAAUGCCUUCGGGUUGUAAACCCCUUUCAGGAGGGACGAAGCGAAAGUGACGGUACCUCCAGAAGAAGCCCCGGCCAACUACGUGCCAGCAGCCGCGGUAAUACGUAGGGGGCGAGCGUUGUCCGGAUUUAUUGGGCGUAAAGAGCUCGUAGGCGGCUCAGCAAGUCGGCCGUGAAAGCCUGAGGCUCAACCUCAGGAUGCCGGUCGAAACUGCUGUGGCUAGGGUUCGGUAGAGGAGAGUGGAAUUCCCGGUGU